AAGUCGUAACAAGGUUUCCGUAGGUGAACCUGCGGAAGGAUCAUUAGUGAAUAAACUUGUGUGGGUUGUUGCUGACCUCUUCGGAGGUACGUGCACGCCUGCCAUCGUUUCAUUCUCCCUUCCACCUGUGCACUCCCUGUAGACCAAGCUGCUGCAACUUCGGAUGUACUUUGUGCACCCGGUAUGAGGACUGCUGUCGGCUGUCCUUGAGCGGUAGUCUCGGUCUAUGUCUUUACCCACUCCAUUGUAUGUACUAGAAUGUAUGUUCUGGGUUCUUUACAGACCCAUAAAACCUUAUACAACUUUCAACAACGGAUCUCUUGGCUCUC
rnacentral:misc_RNA from 1 species